rnacentral:tRNA from 1 species
GGGGGCGUAGCUCAGUUGGGAGAGCGAUUGGUUCGCAAUCAAUAGGUCAGGAGUUCGAUCCUCCUCGUCUCCACCA